GACGAACCGUGCGAACGUUGUUCGGAUUCACUGGGCGUAAAGGGUGCGUAGGCGGUCGGGUAAGUCUGACGUGAAAUCUCCGGGCCUAACCCGGAAACUGCGUCGGAUACUAUCCGGCUAGAGGAUUGGAAGGGAGACUGGAAUACUUGGUGUAGCAGUGAAAUGCGUAGAUAUCAAGUGGAACACCAGUGGCGAAGGCGAGUCCCUGGACAACUCCUGACACUGAGGCACGAAAGCUAGGGGAGCAAACAGG
rnacentral:rRNA from 1 species